GAUGAACGCUGGCGGCGUGCCUAAUACAUGCAAGUCGAGCGAACGGACGAGAAGCUUGCUUCUCUGAUGUUAGCGGCGGACGGGUGAGUAACACGUGGAUAACCUACCUAUAAGACUGGGAUAACUUCGGGAAACCGGAGCUAAUCCCGGAUAAUAUUUUGAACCGCAUGGUUCAAAAGUGAAAGACGGUCUUGCUGGCACUUAUGGAUGGAUCCGCGCUGCAUUAGCUAGUUGGUAAGGUAACGGCUUACCAAGGCAACGAUGCAUAGCCGACCUGAGCGGGUGAUCGGCCACACUGGAACUGAGACACGGUCCAGACUCCUACGGGAGGCAGCAGUAGGGAAGCUUCCGCAAUGGGCGAAAGCCUGACGGAGCAACGCCGCGUGAGUGAUGAAGGUCUUCGGAGCGUAAAACUCUGUUAUUAGGGAAGAACAUAUGUGUAAGUAACUGUGCACAGCUUGACGGUACCUAAUCAGAAAGCCACGGCUAACUACGUG
rnacentral:rRNA from 1 species